AACAGAUGAGGGAGCCAUUUUUCUGCAAUGGAAUUAAAUGGCCAAGUGGGUUUUUCCUUUGUUGCAAAUGGGGAAUGCUUUUCCUUUGACUCCACCAUCCAGUUCAGGACGCCUGAAUGUGUUUAACAUUUGCCAAAGGACUCACACUUGGAAGAAUGAAGACCUUUUAAAAAGAUCUGGAUUUUUCCUUAUGACUUGGAAUCCAUCUUUGUCUUGUAUAACUAGGUCAUAGCACACUAUUAAUGUCAGCAGUUAACAGUUUUGAAUUCAAAAAAACCUAAAGCACUAAACAGCCCUCAGCGAAGCCGCCUUUUUGCCAGCCCAACCCUGGAAAGUUUGCAGUCGUGGAAGGAGCAGAAAUACCACGAGUGUAACUUACAAAGAAGGUCUUGGCCGGAGACCGGAGCCAU
ensembl:lincRNA AI480526 expressed sequence AI480526